GACGAACGCUGGCGGCGUGCUUAACACAUGCAAGUCGAACGGAAAGGCCCUGCUUUUGUGGGGUGCUCGAGUGGCGAACGGGUGAGUAACACGUGAGUAACCUGCCCUUGACUUUGGGAUAACUUCAGGAAACUGGGGCUAAUACCGGAUAGGAGCUCCUGCUGCAUGGUGGGGGUUGGAAAGUUUCGGCGGUUGGGGAUGGACUCGCGGCUUAUCAGCUUGUUGGUGGGGUAGUGGCUUACCAAGGCUUUGACGGGUAGCCGGCCUGAGAGGGUGACCGGCCACAUUGGGACUGAGAUACGGACCAGACUCCUACGGGAGGCAACAGUGGGGAAUAUUGCACAGUGGGCGGAAGCCUGAUGCAGCAACGCCGCGUGCGGGAUGACGGCCUUCGGGUUGUAAACCGCUUUCGCCUGUGACGAAGCGUGAGUGACGGUAAUGGGUAAAGAAGCACCGGCUAACUACGUG
rnacentral:rRNA from 1 species